GAGAAAUAUCUUUAUAGCAAUUUGUGUAGUUUGCUUUUUGUUUUUCUUUUAUUGCAAAUUUGUGUGUUAUUUCGGGAAGGUUUGAUUCGAUUCUCAUUGAACUGCAAUUUCCACAGGGACGGGGACGACACCGACCACUCACUUGAUUGAGAAUUGUUCAGUUGACAGUAUUGGCAUGUGAUGAACAAUACAAAGUAUAGCUAUCAAAGAUUUAUUUAUAUUUCAGUUGUUCUCUGUUGUGUAAGCUUUUGCCUAGAAAGUUUGCUCUACCAAACAAACCGCCAUCUUCCUGUAGCUGGCACCUAACUAGAUUCUCUGGAAUUAAUGGCAAAUGUAAGUGAGUUUUAUUAUGCGCUCAUUAUGUUUUAUUGACUCGACUGGAAUGCCCCACGAAGCCUGCGGGGAAAUUAGCAUAGGGGUGACUCUGGGGUGGCGGGUCUGGGGGCCAGUGCGUGAGUGUUUGGAAAAAGGCAUUUAGCAUUUCAUUUGGCCCAUAGUUGACUGCUACUAAGUUGCGAGCUACACAUAUGCGACGUGUGUGCCUCUGUUACAUAUGUACAUAUUUUAAUUUGGUUUCUUUAUUUCAUUUUAGUUGGCAAUAAUCAGCGGCGUCGCGCCAUGCAUAAUAAUGAAAACCCAUACCAUAACACCAUACCCAUGCUGUCCCCCAGUUGGCCCCACCGGUCCCGCCAUAAUUCUAAUGUCGACCCAGACAUGCCGCAGUCACACGUUCAAAUUACCCCAAUUUCGUGCGGGCAGCAGCGGCAGCGGCAUCGGCAUCGGCAUCGGCAGCAAAUAUGUAAAAAAGUGUUCAUACAUGAAAUGUGAGGGACUGUGGGCUAUGGCAUGGGUAGGGGUAUGUGAAAGACUCAUGGGAAUGGGUAAGUGAAUGGAAAUGUUGGACUGUCGGUUAAGCACUAACUGGGCCGAUUAGCUACUCGAAUUCGCGCACACGUCCCAGCCAUAAAAUGCGUCUCUCUAAUCUCUCCCAUCUGCCAUCAAAAUUUUGACGAAAAUUCGUAUCUUGGCCAAAAUAUCGUGUGAAAAUGUCAGCAAAUGGGCCACGUAAUUAAAACGAAGCCAAAACUCAUCAAAAGCUUCGACAAUUGCAUCCCAAAACCCGAAUCGAAGCAAAGUUCCCACAGUUCCUACCUACUUUGACUUUAAGUUUGACUUUCUUUUGUACUGAAAACUGAAAACUGAAAACUGAAACUGAAAUUGAAACUCCGGACGAUGUGCAAUUUCCGCUCUGUGCAGAUCCGCUCGGCAAGAUCUAAUUGCCGUCGCUCGAUUCGUCAUGCAAUAUAAAAGGUAUUCGAAAGACACUGACGCAUAUAAAUCAUCGCGAGAGGAACAUAAAAAUCGGUUGGCCUUAAAAGGGCCGAAGGUUGAAGGCUUCUGCGGUGGCAGCAGGGCUGCAGAAGUUCUAAAGAAGUUCAUGAAAAGCUUUCUUUUUUUGCCUCCGUCCCUGGUGAGUGCAAACCGAUUUGAUAACUCAUAACUAGGCGUAACUGCUGACACCCUCGUAAAACAGACUCUCGGGUCUUGGACUGCAGCUCAGAUCGCAGCGAAACUAAAGCUUUAGUGGGUGGUUAUUGCAGAGUGGAGGAAGGGGGGAAAGCUGGCAGAGGGUAGCAGAGCUGAAAGGCCAGAGGAGUCCAUGUCUAGUGCCAUUGUCAGUAGUCUUCAUUACCGCUUGCUGCGAGGUGCAUCGAAUGGGAGAGAGAAAGAGCCAGAGCCAGAGCCAGAGACAGAGCCCCCCAUGUCCAGGCGGGCACUUAAACUGCCCAACCGAAUGGGUGCUGGGAAGGCAAUUAACCGAUUUUUAAAUAUGUUUGAACGCCUUUAUGACUUGUGCAGUACAGCUGCCAAGAACCGCGGAGUGUAUAGCCCCAGGGCCAAUGUUCGGGAACUCUUCACGAGCGUUGUAAAUGCGAUUUAUUUCGAUUAUGGAAAGUUGCUGAUUUGGAACUAAUUACCCCAGAGACAGAGCCAGCCCCAGCGUGGUCUACGCUUAUAAGCGAGAAGCGACAAAUGUAAAAGAUUGCUGUGGGUUGCAUAACUAUAAGACUGUUGGUCUUCAAAUAUUAUGAAAGUGCAUUCGAACAGUAACUGCCACAUAAGUAAUCAUCAUAAAGUUGAUACCAAAAACAUACGAUUUUCCUUGCCAACAGGAAAAUUUGCCUCCAACAAUCUCAUAUUUUUGUAACGCACUGUACAUGGAUGUGCACCGUUUAUGCUUUGCGGGCUGCACAAGACAACGGCACUACAUUGAGACACAGACAGACAGAAUUGUCUUGAGCGGUUCUGUAAGAGCUUUUACUUGUUUUUGCGAGUAUGUGAGUGGGUACCGACAACCGACAUCAUAACGCAGCUUUUGCUUGUAACACUUUUCUCGACUAUGGAUUUCCAGAGAUAUAAACAACUGUUGGAAUUUGUGAAUAUUUAUUUUUAAUGCAUACGGGCGUACCUGUAUGUAACCCAUCAAGAUGGAUUUUGGCAUGAGGAAAUAGGAGAGUUAGUUUAAAAUAUAUUCUACGAUAUGUAGCUGAAUAAAUACUAUAAAAUUGUUCAACUUUUCCGUACUAGUCAUGGUCACUAACGUUACCAGCUAUACCCAACGAGAAAACAGAUUUCCAUCUAGUCAACCUCAUAAUUUAAGAAAACCCGGCUAGCGUAACGCUUCGCCAUGAUUUUUCCUCUGCCAAUUAGAUAUUGAAAUUAUUACAGAGCACUUGGCAUUCAUAUUCAUGCAUUUGACUCUGGAGCUGCAUUCAUUCGCAUUCGAACUCGAAUUGUCGUCGAGAAUUGUCAUAACUCUCGAUGUUGCCGCAUAACUCACCCCGCUGUUGGACGGGGGCAGCGUGGGGAUUGCGGAGUGGGCCAGUGACGUGGACGGUGUCAAGGUGUCCACAUGACUUUGUCUCUGUGCCUUGCCAAUUUAUUGGACACUCAUAUGGCAACAACAAAUGAUAGGAGUAAAGCAAACCGACUAAAAGAUACCCGCUACACGGACUUUCUAGUCUUCUUUGGUCAUUUCCUUCUCUCUUUUCGAGUACAUAAUCCACCCCAACACUCUGUGGUAGAGGGUAUGACAACAAGCUGCAUCGAUCGCUGCUCGAUAAACGGUUACAACUGUGCCUCUACCUGCGCCUUCGUCUGUGAAUACGAAUGGCUGCAGCUGAGCCGAAGCUUUGCAUCGUACCCGGGCUAGGCAACGGCGGCGAAAAGAGCGACAAGUUAUGAAUAUAAAAUAUGCAUAAAUAUGCAAUGCAAACACAAAUGCAGGCAGCGGGCACGAAUAAAGCAUGUCAAAGUAAUAACAGAAUAUAAUAAACUAAAUUAUUAAACAAAUGCAAAAUGCAAAUGUUGUUAUUGUUGCUUUUGCUGCUGCUGCUGCUGCCCCUUCCCUUUUCUUAUCAAUGAUCAAAGACUAGAAGUAAACGCUGUUAAAGCUCCCGACACACUCAAGCACACACACACACACUGCAGCCCACACGAACAUUUUGUUGUUGUGACUGCUGCUGCUGUCAAACGAUAUCUCAGCUCGAGUUCGAUCGAAUGAGCGAAUGCUCAGCCUCAGACAGAAGGUAAAUUGUCCAGUGGGUUAGGUACUUAGUCUAGCAUGCACUUAAGACUUCUUUGACUGUAUGUAACUCAAUGGGAACUUCCUUACCUUUUAUGCAAUAUACAUUGCAUUGAUUUCGCAGCUUACGCUUAGUUUGUUUCUCCAACAAAGCGUCGAUGUUGGCGCAGGCACUCUCACACAAUUACAUAUGAGUGUGUUUUGGUUUUAAUAUGUAUGUAUGUACGAAUGUAUGCUUUCUUGUUGGAAGUUGAUGUUAUGAAGGUGGAACCAUAUGCAUAUGACAAUGGCUGUUUGAAAAAUUGGUGUUCAUUGGUGUAAGCUUUUAAUUCAUAGAAUUUCAUUAUGUGCAAAUAUUUUUAUUCAUUUGGUAUCCAAGCCUUAAUAAAUGUUUACAAUUAGUUAAUAAAUGGUUAUAAUGUAAAGAAUAUAAUCACUGCUAAUGCAUGCAGUAAACUGCUUGCAUGUCAUUAAUCAUCUUUCGGCAAGGCAGUGCACUGCUUUUGCAAACAUGCUUUUCAUACAUAUUCAUUCAUACGCGCUCUCUUCUCCUCAUCUCGCAUUAAAUUAGUCGAGGCAGACUCUGCUGGAGACUGUUGUUCCUGGACCCGAACGUAAAUCAUAUUUGAAAUGUCGCAUCCUUAAUUCGCAGGCGGAAUUCCAUUGACGAAUUGCUUCGACUGCCUCUGAUUCCGGCGACCUGCCUCAUUUUUUUGUUGUGCAUUUGGAAAUUGCUUUUGUGGCGCCUACUUAACGUCCGUCCAACAAUGUGGAAAAGUAACUUUCGGCCCUCUCCUUUUUUUAGUCGUUCGUGCACAUUCCGCUGGAUUCCGCAGCCAAAUUGAUGGCGCCAAAAUUUAAGAAGCUCUGCGGUCGGUUCGGUCGUGUUCUGCUCGGAACGGAGACGAGACGAGACGAGACACGGGCCCCAGUGGCAGUCCGCCUGGGAACGGCCAACUGCAAAACAGCAAACGUCAUUCGCAUAGCCAUACCCACACGGACAGCCAUAAUAUGCGUUUCAUGCCAAUAUAAAUCUAUAGAAUAUCAAACAAAAAUGAAACUCCAAUCGAUCGAACUUUGAUUAGUUCGACAACAAAGUCUUACAGCUGUGAAACGCACUGUGCUCAAGUAUGAAGGAGUGGAGCAUUUGUCCCAUAAAUGUCAUUCGGUCGAGAGUUUUUCACGUCGACGCUUAGAUGUCAGCUCCCUCGAGGCCUUGAGCCUCCGGGGCCUUAAAUUAUUCUACGCACAGUCGCGGCCAUAAUAUGAAUUUUGAAUACAAUUUUUGCAGAAAAAAUGGCAUUGCAGCAAAGAGGUAGAAUGGAAAACUCUGCAUAGUCGGUCAGUGGGUACGGCCUUCGAUCUCCGUUAUUUGCGUGCCGAUCGAGGAGAUUCAUUAAUAAAAAUUAUGUCAAAAUAAUCACGCCACCAGCCGGCGGGAACCGCUCAAAUGAUAAAUGAGUCGUCUCCAGGGUGCACUCGAAACCCUUGCUCGGGGAUACGCAUUUGCGAAUGGAUCUCUGUGACUCUGUGACUGGGACGGUAGCAACUUAAUUACAUGUGCAAAGUCUUUCGCUGGAGCGGUGCGAAGUCUCUCCCUCAUUUGAAUGUCAUCAUUAGUGGCGCCGCUCCUGGGACCGCUGAGUGGUCAGAGGGGGUUGCGGCAUGUCUGACGCGACACUGAUCCGAUUUCGAUUGUAACUCCGAUUGUACCGACUGCCACGAUCAUUAAUUACUUUAUUACGGAAAUCAAAAUGUCAGCCUGCCCUUUCAGCACUCUCUCUCUCUCUCUCUCUCUCUCUCAUUUCCCUGGCACUCUCGAAAUGUUUUCAGUUUCUGUUUCCGCUCUGCAUCCGUGUUUACAUAAUGUGGAAAAUUAAUGAUGAAUUUGUUGGCUAACUGACGGCGUUUCGUCGACGCAAUCGCAGACGGAAUCGGACUCGCUGACGCGCCGAAAAGUUCAAAAAUGAUAAAUGGUUUCGAUUACACGCUGGGACAGGCAAUUUUUUAAUUCUCUUAAAUUGUUGGCAAGGCACGUUAAAAGGGGGGAAAUGUAAAGAACAAGGAGAUAAGGAGUUGCUGUAGGAAUCAUCCCUGCGUGGUGAGAGGAUGGAAAAUUACACACAUUUAGGAAAAACUAGGAAAUAAUUAUGGUAGGUUAGAAGCAUUCUUCUUUCUCCAUAAGCUUUGACCACUUUUCCCCUUGCAAUUAUCGAGAAAUCAAUUUGAAAUGAAAACCCGCAGAACCUGAAUAUGCGAAUCUGUCGAUAAACAGGUUCACUGUCGCAUAAAGAUUUACUAAAUUUUGGACUCUCUGGCAAGGAUCGCCUUCUGUUUCAUCUUAAUUUGCAUAAGCGCCGCGCACAAAUCCGCGCUCCACAUUCAACACGCGACUCAAGGCGACUCAAGGUUUGGGCCUGCGGACUGUGGCGAUAUCGCUGGCCAUGUCGGUGGGGACAUUCAAUGUGCAGGCAUAACAAAUGAAUUAUUGACGUUUUUAAGCAAUAUUCGCCAAUAUUCGCUGGCCAGAAACAGAAUCAGACUGCCAGACUGGGACUGGGACUGGGACUGGGAGUGAGACCCCGAAGCAUCAGCCUCAGACUGCGAGAGAUAUGAAAAUUGUCAACGUGGGCUUUCAUUUGCUUAAUUUAAUUUCGUCUUUUUUGUAUUUUGUCGCAUCUCUCAUUUGUUUUAACGAGGAUGUGCCGCAUCGGACAAACGAACUUGGAAUGGCAUGGGAUGGGGUCUGUGGCAGACAGACUCUGGGUCCGCUCGUCUUUCAUUUUCGUGACUGGGAACCCUCGACUGGGGACUCAGGUAGGAACCUCUGCCUCAACUCUUUCCCAGUAUGUAAAUCCCAGCUCGUUUGGUAGAGUCCGCAGAUCGAGAGUUUGGCUCAUUAAUGAAUUUAAAUGGUCUCCUUAAUAAUAUUUAACGGCUUCUUUGCCUCGCUUUAUGAUGACAAUAUUUUUCCAAGAGCCCGUUACCCCGUCCCCCAUCUCCGCUCUCGGACAGGAAGACACUUAUAUGGGAUUUCUCUUACUUAAUGGCCCUGCAUCGAACGCUGACAGUUGACAUGUUCCUUCAGGGUAUCCGGAGAUCGAGUGCAACAUAAAAACUUUCAGCUUAUGGGGAUAUUAAUAAUUCCCUUUCAUAAGCGUGGUUCGGGCUUGAGUUUGAGUUCUGCCGCUGCCACGGGGUCAAUCUGUUGGCCAAUUUAUCUCAUAAAUUCCAUUUGAUGUAUGUAUAUCAGUGCAAUCUAUACCAGCUCAUACCCAUUCCAACCCCCGAUGGGCCGAGAACUUAUCCAGUUCUACAAAUCGAUUUUUGAUUGAGUUCAUUAGAGGCCAAGCCGAAAUGCCGCAACAGGAGCUAUCCAGGAGGCAGAGUGGGAGGGUAUAUUAUCGCCAUGUGGCAUCACAUACGUGUACGUACACAUACGGUAAUGUCUCCCAGGAGUAUUGACUCACUGGAAUCCCAUUCCGGUACAGGACAGGACUCCCCCUGUCGAGCACUUGGCCAAAUCAUUUUUGUUAUUAGCGAAAAUCGCGUCGAGUGAUUUACUUUUACUUUUGUCUUACUUCAGCGAGAGUAUUGGCUUUGAUUUUCCCCACAUGUCAGAACAGUGAGCAUGGAUGUGGCAGGGUUGGGGGUUCUGUGAAUGGUUCUGUGGAUGGCAGCUGGAAACGUUAUCAUCGUUGGGUCAGGCGUUCGGGCAUCGCUGCCCCCAGAAGUGGCAAGUCUUUUGCCCAAAUCCUAAUUGGAUUUAUGUGUAGAAAUGGAUUAUAGCUUAUGUUUUCCAAGUUGCUCGCCUUUUUUCUUCUCUCUCCUCUAAUUGCAGUUGCCAGUGGGUGCCGCCCCGUGCUGCUGCCGGUUUUCCGCAAAUUGCUAGCCGGAGAAGCGUUUCGCAGCAAACACAUGAGCCAUCAACUGAAAUUGAUAGAUAUUAGAUAGAUGGAUACUGGUUGGCAUUAAAGUUGGUUCGCAGUUUCCAGAAAGGUUUUGGCAUCGUUUUGUGAGCUUUAAAGUAAUUCGUCUGUUCUCUUACGCAAGCUUUUGCGUCGCAGGCUGGCUUGAGACUCUCUCUUUCGGCGCCUCUCUUUCGACGAUCUGCUCUUCGCUCUCGCCUGAAUUCGCUCUCAUCUGAAUUCGCUCUCCGUCGUUCUUGCUUUGCGUUGCAGCGUUUAUGUUUUGUUUAGGGAUUGCAAUAGGCAAAGCCAACAGAAAUAUUGUAAGCAAAUAUGCCUUAAAAAACAGCUAAAUCUAUUCAUCCAGAGUUAUGCCAACCAAAAUACUCCAUGAGAUGUGUAAACCGUUAAUAUAGAUACGGAUAAUUCAAACGGAUAGAUUUGCAUGCUAUCUCGCGAUGAUCAGCCGUUGAUUUCCAUAAUUCCACUUCGUAUCAAUGAGGGAAACCAAAUGAAACGAAACGAAACGAAACGAAACUAAUAAGCCGGCUCUGAGACUAAUAUUUAUGACAUGAUAUCAUCUAGGGGCCACUCGGACCCUGAGACCCAGUGUCUCCUGUAGGUCUGUGCUGGGACCGAGACCAAAUGUCUGCCGGAGAAUCGUUACGAAAUAUUGGCCAUUAAAAUGGGAGAGAGAGAGAGGGAGUGAGAGAGAGAGAGAGAGAGAGAACCGAAAGAACCACCAGAGAAGCGGUGGAAGAGUGAAAGAGUUAUGCCUUGAAUGAAAUGAGUAUAUAAAUAUUUUAUCAGUGACCAGAAAUCAGAUAUCUGUUUGAUUCAUAGAGCUAAUUUAUGGCUUCCUUUUGUCUCUCUGCCUCGCAGUCUCCUACCCGGCCAGACCCACAGACACCAAUGCGGCUCAUUAUGAGACAAAACCAAAAAUCAAUAAAAAUAUAUCGUACACAGAGAAAUUUGACUGGCAAAUGGAGUGGGACACUGGGAUGAUGGUACGGCAGCGCAUUCCACCAGAGCCCGCCACAUAAAUAAGAAGAACCCAAAAUAAUUUUCCAAAUCUGUGGCUGAAUUUCUAUUAACGAGUUAUUUAGAAAUCAAUCGCCUGCAUCAAGCGAUGAAAAUCACGGGGAAAGAUCACAAUAAAACGAGUCAAGGGGAGAUCAGAGCCAAUGGGCAACUGAUUGAUAUUUGGAGCUGCAUUUGAGAUAUUCCUGCAUCUCUGCUGUGCACAAACCUAUUCAAAUUAGCUCUAAAUGUUGUCUACUUUAAGCAGUCGGCCAUCUUUCUAUGAGUCCCCCCCGUCUGCGAGGCUCCUGGCGAAUGCAAAACGGAGCGCAUCUCAUUGAUUUGUAAUUCUCAGGCGCAGCAUAAAUUUUACAUGUGAAAUCUGAUAGCCACCGGACUGGAGCUGGACCCUGAAGCUGGAACCCAGAACCCUGGAGGCUGUGUGCUAUUUUGCGGCAAUCAUUUGCACCUCGCUGUUGCGCCCAGGCCACAAAUCUUAUUUUAUUCAAAGUGCCCAUGCGUAGGUCGACUCGACUCCACUCCACAUUUGCAUAUGCCGCUGCAGACUCUCCAAAACGAGUCAGCGAGAUUCAAGACCAGGCCCCAAGUCUGGGCUGGACUUGGCCACACAUUUAUGAAUCAACGCCAGGCGCGCCAUUUCAUUCAAUAAAACACGAGGAGUCCACCGUUCACCGAUCUCCCUUGUGCCAUCUCCUGCAUCUUUGGGUAUUUUUUGUUUGUUUUUGAGCAAUGUUCAAUGCACGACGACGACAACAGCGACAACGAGUUGUGUCUCUAACCUGCGGAACAUAAAUAUUUCGACACUUUUGCAUGCGCGACAAACAUGUGCGAGAAGUGGCAUAAAAAUAUGGCAGUUCCAGCCACGGAGGAGGUGCGAGGGGAGUGCAGGGUCUGAUGACCAUUUAGUGGUCCAGCCAGAGCCAGAGAGAGGGACACACUGCUGGCAGGGCAGAUGCGAAUUUGUCGCCGGAAUAUGAUCAUAAUUCAUGCAACAAACAAAUGUACAACUUUGCAUUCAACUCGAUGGUCGUCGCCGAUGGUCGUUAUUCGAUGGUGGACCCAGGGCUCGACCCACGCGCGAAUAAACCCAAACCGGAUGCAGAUGCAGCAUGGAAACUCACAGAUUUAACUGCAAUUUGUUGGCCCAAAGUGAGACUGGAUACAGGCUGUGUUUUGACUCGAUUUGGAUUUGAUUUGGCAGAAGAAUAAAAUUAAAUUUUGCAUGGCAAAUGUGUGAGGAGUGAGUGUGAGAGUCUAAGUAAAGUUUCUUAAGAAUAGGUGCCGAAAAAUGAAGAUAUAUAGACCUCUCGAGAGAAGUCUGUCAUUCAUAAAAUGAAAACUAACAGACAUGCUGAUAAACCUUUACCUUACUCUAAUCAUAUUGAAGACCCAUCUCCAUGACUAAUUCCAAAAUUAUUCUUAACAAGCAUUAAGCAUAAUCCCUGUCAAAACACAAACUCCAAAAAAAGAGCCCAGAAACAGUAGCCGCUGGUGCCCACUGACUGCAACUCCACCUCCAGUUCCACCUCUACGGAUCUCCAGCAGAAGGUGGAACUCUGAACGACGACCGACGACAGGCGCAGCGAAUGUAAUAAGCGAUUAAAACAUCUUUAAGCGGGCGAUUAACGCAGCGGGCGGUGCAGCGGCGAGCCGCUGGGCAUCCCGCUGGGGAGGAGUCGCGUAGAGUCCGAGAUUGGAGUCUGGAGGUAGAGAGAUGAUGCUGCACAUUGGCGUUACACGGCUACUGCUCGACUCCUCUCCUCACACUCGACUGGCGCUUCUGGGCAUUUACACCUUUUGGUUCCACGUCCCCCCAUGGGGUCUGCUCGCCGAGGCACUGCAAUGCCCAGACACCGAUAAUUUCAUAAUUCACUCAGUCCCGGGGGCAGUGCUGGCGUUUAUAAAUCUCUUUAAUAUUAUUUUGUUAGGGCGCCUAAUUGCUGUAAAUAUUAUUUCUGCGGCCGGCUAAUGUUCCAUGGGCCCCCAGUACGGUAAAUUGUUUAUUGUUCCGAAAGUUUGUUUCCCAUUUUGUUGUGUUUAUUUGAAAAGCAAUUAGAAUUAUUAUGAGCAGCAUAUUUAUUGCUCGAUGAGAUGUUGUUGCCUGGAAUCGAAAAUUAAUGGGCAACGGAAAGCGGAGAAGGGGAAGAGAAAUGACCAAUUCCCAAUUAAACAAUAACCAGAUCCAAGUGUAUUAUGUGAAGCCCCAAAAGCAACAGCAAAAGGUACGAAAAGAGCAUUCAACCGUGGCAGAGGCGAAGCAGAGUUAAGUGUAGGCCGAGAUGCAGAUCUUCCGCUCAUUACACUGGCCAACAAGAGCUGAGGUUUUGAGCAUUUAAUAUGAGAUAUAUGGGAUAUAAAAUUCAAUGAAACCUAGAACCAUUCAGGUUUAUGUUUUCAAUUCCACAAACGCCAGAAAACAUUUCAUAAAAGUAAGUCAGUUCUGUAAGUUAUUUAUUUCCCCUCUACUCUGUUGUUUUUUUACCUCCGAUUUAUACUUCAUUUUUGUUGUUUGGUGUCCUAAAACCCUUGCAGGUGGCAGUGCCUCAAAUUAUUUUGCAGUUUCCUCUUUAGUUUCUCUUCUUGGAUUCGCACAAAUCUGUGUGAUCUUUUGUUCCCAUAAUUUAAAUGUCAAGUUUUGUCUAUAUUAAAAAUUCUCUUUGCAGCUCCUCCCCCUCCACCCCACAAUCAAGCUUUGAUUCAGCAUUGUGUCUGCCUGCCCCACUGAUGGACUGCCUGCCCGACUGCCUGUCGGACACUUGUCUUAGACCAUUUUUCAUUUCAUUUCCAUUUGCCAAUCUCCGAUGCCCAGCCGGAGCUCAGCAGUGGCCUGCUUUUGGCUGUUGCGCUUUUUAGCAUGAGAAGAAGAUUGGAGGAGACUCAUUUCAUUUGACAGGAAUAUUUUCGCUGAAUUAUCGUAAAUAUAUACAAUGCUGAUCCCCAAAGCUGGAAGUAUAAUUUGGUUGCAAAAUUGGAUGCAGAGGAGUUCGGGUUAAUUAUUUUAUGUUUAUGUAAUUGGAAAAGGAAGUGAAAAGUUAACAAAAAAAAUAAAAUAAAAUAAUUCCAUAA
rnacentral:lncRNA from 1 species